UCCGAUAUGGUGUAACGGCUAACAUUGCCGCCUUUCAGUACAUCAACGCGGCAGCUCGGGGUUCGAUUCCCCGUAUCGGAG